AGAGUUUGAUCCUGGCUCAGGAUGAACGCUGGCGGCGUGUCUAAGGCAUGCAAGUCGAACGAGUCCUUCGGGACUAGUGGCAAACGGGUGCGUAACACAUUAGUAAUCUACCUUUGACUCGUGAAUAACUUUCCGAAAGGGGAGCUAAUACACGAUGUGCUAAUCAGACAUAUGGAUGAUUAGUAAAGAUUUAUCGGUCAAAGAGGAGCUUAUGGCCUAUCAGCUUGUUGGUGGAGUAAAAGCCCACCAAGGCUACGACGGGUAGCGGGUGUGAGAGCAUGACCCGCCUCACUGGGACUGAGACACUGCCCAGACUCCUACGGGAGGCUGCAGUCAAGAAUAUUCCCCAAUGGACGAAAGUCUGAGAGAGCGACGCCGCGUGAAAGAAGACGCCCUUCGGGGUGUAAAUUUCUUUUCUUAGGGACGAACUAAUGACGGUACCUAAGGAAUAAGGGGCUGCUAACUUCGUGCCAGCAGCAGCGGUAAUACGAAGGCCCCAAGCGUUAUCCGGAAUUAUUGGGCGUAAAGCGUCUGUAGACGGCUAAUUAAGUCAAUGGUUAAAUCUUGAUGCUCAACAUCGAGCCCGCCAUUGAUACUGACUAGCUAGAGUCCGGGAGAGGUAAGCGGAAUUGCCGGUGUAGUAGUAAAAUGCGUUAAUAUCGGCAGGAACACCAAAUGCGAAGGCAGCUUACUGGAACGGUACUGACGUUGAGAGACGAAAGCGUGGGUAGCGAAGGGGAUUAGAUACCCCCGUAGUCCACGCCGUAAACGCUGGAUGCUAGACAUUGGUAGUAUCGACCCUAUCAGUGUCGUCGAACCAAGCUAACGCGUUAAGCAUCCCGCCUGGGGAGUACGGUCGCAAGACUAAAACUCAAAGGAAUUGACGGGAACCCGCACAAGCGGUGGAGCAUGUGGUUUAAUUCGACAUUAAGCGAGGAACCUUACCAAGGCUUGACAUCCUCGGAAUUCCUGGGAAACCGGGAAGUGCCUUCGGGAGCCGAGUGACAGGUGCUGCAUGGUCGUCGUCAGCUCGUGUCGUGAGAUGUACGGUUAAGUCCGGAAACGAGCGCAACCCUUAUUCUGUGCUACAUAUUUCACAGGAGACUGCCAUCUUAAAGAUGGAGGAAGGUGGGGAUGACGUCAGAUCAGCAUGGCUCUUACCCCUUGGGCUACACACGUGCUACAAUGGCCGGUACAACGGGUCGCCAAACCGAAAGGUGGAGCUAAUCCAAUAAAACCGGUCUCAGUUCGGAUUGAGGGCUGAAAUUCGCCCUCAUGAAGUUGGAAUCGCUAGUAACCGUGAAUCAGCCAUGUCGCGGUGAAUACGUUCUCGGGUUUUGUACG
rnacentral:rRNA from 1 species